UACGUAGGGGGCUAGCGUUGUCCGGAUUUAUUGGGCGUAAAGAGCGUGUAGGCGGCCAGGUAGGUCUGGUGUGAAAACUCGAGGCUUAACCUCGAGAUGUCAUCGGAAACCAUUUGGCUAGAGUCCGGAAGAGGAGAGUGGAAUUCCUGGUGUAGCGGUGAAAUGCGCAGAUAUCAGGAAGAACACCAAUGGCGAAGGCAGCUCUCUGGGACGGUGCUGACGCUGAGACGCGAAAGCGUGGGGAGCGAACAGG
rnacentral:rRNA from 1 species